AGACAGCACAAGCAGGGGAGCGUCAGGGAGAGGGGAAGCAGGUUUCCCUCUGUGCAAGGAGAUGGACACGUGACUUGAUCCCAGGACUCUGGCUGGGAUCAUGACUUGAGCCAAAGGCAGCCACUUAACCGACUGAGCCAGCCAGGGUUUCAGUUACUUCUGGUCAACUUCAUCUGAAGUAGAUGAUCCUCCUUUUGAAGUAUUAAUUGAAGUUCAAUAGCAACUUAUUGCUAAUGGGACAGUGCCUAUAUCACUCACCUCACUUCAUGUCAUCGCAUAGGCAUUUUAUCAUCUCACAAUAUCACAUGAAAGAUUCCCAGAGGACAUGCCAAAGUUCAAAGGCGGUUGUAUGAGGAAAACAAGCCCAGCCAACCAUUAAGAACUCUUCCCACCUGGAGAAGACCUGAAGUGGAUCCUAGCAGCCUCAAAAACAAAGGUCCCAGAAUACUAAUGGAGUCAUCUUUUCAUUCCUUCCCUUCAGUGAGUAGGCACAAACACAAAAAAUACAAAACAAAAGGAGGAUCUUAAUAGUUAGGAAAGAUUCAUUUUACUGUAGAGAAGGGCUGUUAGGAAGCUGCUGCCAACGGGCCUGAUCCAUACAGAGCUGUAAAACCAGUUACUUGUGCUUGGCCGUCCAUGGAAAACAGCAGGCCACUCCUUUUAUUCAGAGCCCUUUCUCUGAGGCUCCCUGACUGAACAAAAACCUGCUCAAAGAUAUGGGGGCUCAAUCAGAUAAAGAUGCUUCAGUUUAUUCUGCAGGUAUUUUGUGUUGUUUUCCUUUCAAUUUUCCAGCAACUGAUUAACAUAAUUUCCAAUCAUUAAAAUUUACCAAUAAGCAUCUCCCUGAAACUCUAUGUAUCUCAAGACAUAGGUGUAUAAAUCAUUCAGUCUCACCCCAGUUCUAGGUUACCAUCCUGGUACAUGUGGGAAAACC
rnacentral:lncRNA from 1 species